rnacentral:rRNA from 1 species
GAUGAACGCUGGCGGCGUGCCUAAUACAUGCCAGUCGAGCGAACGGACGAGAAGCUUGCUUCUCUGAUGUUAGCGGCGGACGGGUGAGUAACACGUGGAUAACCUACCUAUAAGACUGGGAUAACUUCGGGAAACCGGAGCUAAUACCGGAUAAUAUUUUGAACCGCAUGGUUCAAAAGUGAAAGACGGUCUUGGUGUCACUUAUAGAUGGAUCCGCGCUGCAUUAGCUAGUUGGUAAGGUAACGGCUUACCAAGGCAACGAUGCAUAGCCGACCUGAGAGGGUGAUCGGCCACACUGGAACUGAGACACGGUCCAGACUCCUACGGGAGGCAGCAGUAGGGAAUCUUCCGCAAGGGGCGAAAGCCUGACGGAGCAACGCCGCGUGAGUGAUGAAGGUCUUCGGAUCGGAAAACUCUGUUAUUAGGGAAGAACAUAUGUGUAAGUAACUGUGCACAUCUUGACGGUACCUAAUCAGAAAGCCACGGCUAACUACGUG